UCUCGAUUGGUCUAGUGGCAAGGAUACCUGCUUGUCAAUCGUUCGGAUUCAAAGCAUCUGAUUCGAUGAACAAGCCGCAGGUGGCCGGGGUUCGAUUCCCCGAUCGAGAG